GAAGGUUUUUGUUUUGUCUCUCUUUGUGUGUCCUCUCCGGUCAGCGAGGAACCAGGGAAGGGAAAAUACAUCUCCUAAAGCCAUAUCUGAACUAAGCAUCUAAGAUUAUGAAUUAAGGAAAUUCCACCACAUCCUCGUUAGACAGAAAGCUGAUGGCCCUGAUGAUAAGCUUUGAAGCAGGGGGAAAAGAGAACUGCCUCUUUCGAUGGGAUGCACUAUUGAGAAGAUGCUGCCUUUGAUUCACUGACGCUGUAGAAAGAUGACCAUGGAGAAAAAAAGACCUCUACAUGUCCUAGGGAAAUUAUAAUCAAACCAAGGGACAUUCUAUCUAUUAGCCAAAUUCUGACCUUCACACUGCGAGAGGCGCCUGGGUGGAGGAAUCGUAACAGUGACAGAUGUUCCCUGAGCCAAGCUGACUAAACAAGGCAGGAUGGCUCAGAGGGGCCAGACUACAGCAUACUUUGGACCACACCUCAUUGCUGCACCUCCCUUAGUGCCUGUCACCAAAGCCAAACAAUGUCCCAUGGCCUAAGAGCCUGGGAUCAACACCCAAACUAGCUGGCCUCGCCCUUUUGGGGCUAUGGAAUGCUAUCUAGUAUGUCACUGGGACCCCUGGCAAGCAUGUAAGGAAACAAAUACAUGUUCUACUAUGGUCCUGUAUGGGUGCACUGUUUGGGGGGUGUCAAGGCUACUUCCCCACUCUGAACUUUAGGGUACAGAUGUGGGGGCCUGCAUGAAAACUUCUAAGCUUAACUACCAGCUUA